rnacentral:rRNA from 1 species
AUAUACAGUAAGCGGCCAAGCGAAAGCGUUAAGUAAUCCACCUGGUGAGUACGUUCGCAAGAAUGAAACUCAAAGGAAUUGACGGGGGCCCGCACAAGCGGAGGAACAUGUGGUUUAAUUCGAUGAUACACGAGGAACCUUACCCGGGCUUGAAAUGUAUCUGACCGGCACAGAGACGUGCCUUCCCUUUGGGGCAGAUAUGUAGGUGCUGCAUGGUUGUCGUCAGCUCGUGCCGUGAGGUGUCGGCUUAAGUGCCAUAACGAGCGCAACCCUUAUUGCUAGUUGCCAUCAUUAAGUUGGGAACUCUAGCGAGACUGCCGUGGACAACACGGAGGAAGGUGGGGACGACGUCAAAUCAUCAUGCCCCUGAUGUCCUGGGCUACACAC